rnacentral:rRNA from 1 species
UCUGGAGACAGGUGCUGCAUGGCUGUCGUCAGCUCGUGUCGUGAGAUGUUGGGUUAAGUCCCGCAACGAGCGCAACCCUUGCCUUUAGUUGCCAGCAGUUCGGCUGGGCACUCUAAAGGGACUGCCGGUGUUAAACCGGAGGAAGGUGGGGAUGACGUCAAGGUCCUCAUGGCCUUUAUGACCAGGGCUACACACGUACUACAAUGGCCGAUACAAAGGGCAGCGACACUGCGAGGUGAAGCCAAUCCCGUAAAAAUCGGUCUCAGUCCGGAUUGGAGUCUGCAACUCGACUCCAUGAAGUUGGAAUCGCUAGUAAUCGUGGAUCAGCAUGCCACGGUGAAUACGUUCCCGGGCCUU